UUCGGGGGACGCUCACGUGCCCGCUUUGAUCGCAGCUUGUGGGAAACUGGCCCAGACCCUGGAGGCCCUGGUAGAGAGGACCCAGCUGUGGUCAGAUGGAGCCGACAGGACUCCAUCUCCCAGAAUGCCCGUCGUGCCAGUCGGAGGCCACGAUCUGGCACCAGUGGUGCAGAAUGGACAGUGGGUGGAACAGGAUGGCCCCGCCCCAAACAGCCCGCCAGAGCUCCACAAACCCCCCCAGAGGAACGGGCAUCCUGGCUUCCAGGAGCGUGUCUGCUGCUGUUAAGACCCAGGACAGCAGCACAGACCUUCAGCAGCACAGACCGUCAGCACUACAGACCUUCAGCAGCACAGACCGUCAGCACCACAGACCGUCAGCAGCACAGACCGUCAGCAGCACAGACCUUCAGCACCACAGACCGUCAGCAGCACAGACCUUCAGCACUACAGACCGUCAGCAGCACAGACAUUCAGCAGCACAGACCGUCAGCAGCACAGACCUUCACAGCCGCGCCUGAGAGCAGGGUGGCCUCAUUGGCUGAAAGCUCCAGCUGGCAGUGUUGCAGGUGUGACAGUUGCAGUCCAAAACAGAAACUGCAUGCAAAUCCAGCUGAACCAGUAUGCACUGGCAACUCACUGCCCUCUGCUGGCCACUGAGAGAAUCGGAUCAUUAACUAUGGAUUUUACCUUUGAUGCAUAGUACAUGGAAAUAAAUUUGAUUGGUUGAUAGUU